AUGAACGCUAGCUACAGGCUUAACACAUGCAAGUCGAGGGGAAACGACAUCGAAAGCUUGCUUUUGAUGGGCGUCGACCGGCGCACGGGUGAGUAACGCGUAUCCAACCUGCCCAUCACUUGGGGAUAACCUUGCGAAAGUAAGACUAAUACCCAAUGAUAUCUCUAGAAGACAUCUGAAAGAGAUUAAAGAUUUAUCGGUGAUGGAUGGGGAUGCGUCUGAUUAGCUUGUUGGCGGGGUAACGGCCCACCAAGGCAACGAUCAGUAGGGGUUCUGAGAGGAAGGUCCCCCACAUUGGAACUGAGACACGGUCCAAACUCCUACGGGAGGCAGCAGUGAGGAAUGUUGGUCAAUGGGCGAGAGCCUGAACCAGCCAAGUAGCGUGCAGGAAGACGGCCCUAUGGGUUGUAAACUGCUUUUAUAAGGGAAUAAAGUGAGAGUCGUGACUCUUUUUGUAUGUACCUUAUGAAUAAGGACCGGCUAAUUCCGUG
rnacentral:rRNA from 1 species